GCCAAAGGAGCUAAAGGAGCCAACGGAGCCAAAGGGGCCAAAGGAGCCGACGGAGCCAACGGAGCCAAAGGGGCCAAAGGAGCCAAAGGAGCCAAAGGAGCCAAAGGAGCCAACGGAGCCAAAGGGGCCAACGGAGCCAAAGAAGCCAACGGAGCCAAAGGGGCCAACGGAGCCAAAGAAGCCAACGAAGCCAAAGGGGCCAAAGGAGCAGAGGUGCUGGUGAGUUUAGGAAAAUCCCACUGAGGUUCAAUAAAGGAAAACAGGAUUUGUGAAUGAUCGACCGUCUCUACACACAGAGACACUUUUUCGUGUUCCGUGUGCACCUACGUCUGCAAAAGAAGCCGCUUCCUCCUCAACACGCAAACUGCUGUAAUUUAGUCUUACAACCUUAUAGGAAGGUUUGACAUUUUGUGAAAUACGUGUAGUUUUCUGACAGAAUAAAUAUUUACUUUGUGUCUGUGUGCUCAAUAUGAAGCUUAGCUUAGCAUAAAAAACAGCUUUGAAUUCACUUCAGCUACAAUUGUCUCACAUUUAAUGGAUUUUUAAAUAGAUUAAACACACACGCACACACACGCACGCACGCACGCACACACACACACACACUGGUCACUUUCACAUACACUCACAACAAAGUUGUUAUGGUUAUCUGUUCGCUUAACUUUUAUUUUUAACUUAAAUUCCUUCUUAUCCUUUAUUUUUAAAUAGGUGAUUUUAUUUCCCUCUGGCCUUAUAUUGUAUUUCGUAGAGUAAUUUGUAAAUUUAACAUUUUCUUGCUCAUCUGUGUUGUUAUCCAUCGUCUUGCUGUCUGAGGUUACGUAUUUUGGUAACAAAGGUUUGAUUCCUGAUCCCUGAAAAAAUAUGUUUCAUUAGUUUGUUAAGUGUGAAAAUGUGAAUUUGUGCAACGUUCACUGUUACACUUAAACUGUUUGCUUCUGUGUGCAGACUUUAUGCUAAGCUAAGCUAACUGGAAGCUUCAUACGGACGUGCACAAGCUACUGUUCAGCAGGAUGAUAAAUGACAUGUAAUGUAUUGAUGAACAAGGAAAAUAUGAGGAUGGUGCAGCAUUAAACAAAUCUAUGAAAUUAUUCAAACUUUCAUUAAGAAAGUGAACAUGCAAAAACCUCAUGUGGUCCAAAAAGUGCAGCAGAGCACCUGUUGCUUUUAUUUGGUCAAUCUUUUCUCCACAUGUCCGCAGUCAUCCACGUCCAAAGCGCACAGAUCCUCCUCGCUGACGGAUUCACUGCUUCAUAACUUUGCAAAGAAAAACACUUUAGAAGUUCCAUCAAUCGAGGCUCAUUGAGAGAAACCUCCGUCUAUAAACGCGCUUCACUCCCUGUAGCUCACGACGGAGCAGUUUCAUGCUACUUGUUCCAUUCUUUCCUUUUUACUUGUCUCUCAAAGUCCAUUACAGCUUCAUCGACAUGUUUCACUCCAAUGGAGCUGAGAGUGAGCAGUUUAUGAACUCAUAUUAAUAUUCUUCAUAACUUCCUUCAUAAAUGAGGUCGUAAAAAAGGUCCAUUGUACUCGGAGGAAUAAAGGAUUCAAAUCUCAUGAAGGCAGCAAACAUACAUAAAUACAGUAGUUAUUGCCCACUGAAAACUAUGUAUUUCCAAAAUAGGUGAGUUUGCUCCUUAAUGGGUAAGAUUCCACUUCUGAGCCGAAAUUGAAGGAAAAUCUGAUUUGAACACAGUUGUCUUUUCAGAGGUACAGAGUUUCCUCAUAGGAUCGUUGACGUAACCUAAACUGGCUUUGAAAGGAUCUUUUUUCUGGGAUCUAUUUUCUUUAUUGCUCAAAAGUACUCAAGCUUACAUUUCUAUUUCUAAUUUUUGUGUUGCAGGAGAUUAUGGAGAGAUCCCCAACAAUUACAAUCCACAAAACUGAUAUGAGACAAAGUCGAAAAAUAUAGAAAUGAAAAUGCAUCUUGACGUUUAGUGUCUGACUUCCACCUAAAAGCUUCUCUGUCGCUGCUCCUGGUGAAAGUUGGUGAAAGUGGGAGAACGUGUGAAACGCUUUGUGAACCUCAACAGGAAGUGAGGGUCAUCGGUAUCUCCAUGGCAACAGGAAUAUGGCUGCCUGGAGCCAGAAGGAGGGUGAGCGAACGAAACACAUGAAUCACCCAUUUACACAUACUUCAUAUUUAAGCACAAUCGCCAAAACGCUCUUAAAUGUAAUAAUGAUCUGGUUUUCUUUGUCUUCUUUGAAGAUGAAUUAUUGUCUUUUCACGUUAUAAUUGUUGGUCAUACAAUGUGUGCUUUCUACCAUGUGGAUCUUUGGCAAAUUCAUAAUUUUAAAAUUAUUUAUUAUUGAAGUAUUCAGUUUUUAUUACAUUAUAAAUAUUGCUGAUUCAUUUUUAUAUUUUAUUUCCAUAUUAGUACAGACUUUUCUUAAUAAUGUUAAACAUUAUUUUAUUUAACUGACUGAAGCUAUAAGUGACACCGUCACCAGGUGCAUCAUAUUCAUACAUAUAUAUAUGUAUAUACAUAUAUAUAUAUAUAUACAUACAUAUAUAUACAUAUACAUAUAUAUAUGCACCACAACAAAAGGUCUUUCCCAAAUUGCAUUUACAACUCGUCUGCUACAGAAAAUACGUUUUGAGGGCAAAUAUGAUGCAUCCUUUUUCUGUAGAAUAUCCGAAAAGUCAAAGCAUUUAGUUGAGAUUGAGGUAAUGAUCGUUUCAUAUUACUAUUCUAUUAUUCUAUUAUUCCCACAGCGCUUGUAGAGUGCUGAUUCGACAGCUGUCCACGUGCACGCUGCUCCAGUCUACUCUGCGCUUCAUUUGUUUGUAAAUCUGCCUCUGGCCACUGACUUGAACCAUCUUCACCCUCAUGUGUGGACUGAAUCCCGUUAGCGGUCAUUAGCGCCGAUCAAACACUCCUGAGGAGGUUCUGACACCAGAGUGCACGUAUGAGUCUGCAGGCCGCGCACGGAGCGGCGGGCAGGAGGCUCCUGACGGGACCGCCGAGGUGGAAGGAGUGCAGCUCAGGGGGCCGAGUUAGAGGAGCAGGGGACGGUGAGACACGGCGGAGAAGGACUUUGUGGGUUAGCGGCGUUUCAGCCCACGGGGGCACAUGGGAGCCGUGGCCUGAGGAUGGAUCCCAGCCGACCCCCCCGAGGUGUCAAUGUUAUGACAUGUGUCCCGCUCCGCUGUUUUCUCUCACAACAACAGCACUUCAUCUUCCAGGGUGGUCGGGCCUCAUAAAAGAAGCUUGAUUUACCCGCUGGGGGACCAGAGCGUCCACCUUCUCUUCUUCCUGUUGCACUUACGCUUCACUUCCUGUGGGCCAGCACCCAACCGUCGGCGGGAAGAAGUUGGAUUCCCUCUCUGAUGUGCGCGCGGAAGAGGACCGCCUCCUGGAGGUUACCGUUGGAGACAAUCGUCCCUUUUCGCGUUUGUCGGUCGUGCUUUGCUUACGUCCGCCGUGACGGCCGCUCAGAUGUCCCCCCCCCGAUGACGACGACGUCUCCGGCUGAAAACAGAGUCGAGCGCUGCAGAUGGAAAGCAUGACGCGCCUUAGUGGAUGUCCUGCGGCGGCUGCAGGCCGAAGACGACCGCGGAUGUCAGCAGGGUUUUGGGGAGAUGAUAUUUAUUGUCACGCGUGAUGAGUCACACGCGUAACGAUGCCUGCGUCUUUAAAACGUUCUGAAAACAUCUGGAAACGGUGAAUGCGACAUUCUUUUAGGGUUUUCUGCUCCUUCGGUUGAUGUUGGUUACGUUUGGACAGUAACUUCUCCUUGGUAGAAGUGAGGAGACGGAUCCAUCGUGGUUCCCCACGUCGACUCUCAAACGCUUCGGUCGCCCGAUCAUCCGCGCCGACUGUCCCCGAUGUUUGCUGGCCAUCGCACAAUUACACAACAACUGACGUAAGAAUUUGUCCCUGUUCGUUUACACUGAGGAGUCAGUUCGGUGAGUUUGUAAAGGACGAUGCUGAUUGGAUCAGACGAGACCACAUGGUCGACAUUAAGAACAAACCAGCGCUGUUAUUAAAUUCAGGUACAGGAAGUCGAUCCAGCGAAAGGCGUCUGGGUUGGUUUUGGUUUUGGGACAGAAGCUGGAGCAUGAGCUCCUGUAGAAACUGGGCGAGGACAAUACAGAGACAGCAGAGACACGGUUCCAGGACGGAUGCUGUUGUUUUCUUGUUGCUCUGAUCACAAAACAAAGCUUUUUGUAUUUCAUCCUUUUUAUUCGUGUAAACAAACCAAAACCGUCUGCGCGGCCCGACACCACUUGAGCUUAUUGGACCCUUUAAAGUUCCUCUGCUGCCCACAAGAAAAAUGUCUCCGUUCAACACGAGCCAAACCAGUGACGAGGCGAUAAAAUGACAAAUCCCACUGAAUCCCAACGAACGUCUCACCGCCUCCUCGCGCUGAACCCACCCAGCCGUCAUUGUCUCACCCUGUCCAGGCGGCGCGAGCUCGUCCUCUGGCGCCGCCGAGAGAAGCGGCCUCUCGUCUGGUGGCACAAAUAGGGAAACCCUUAUGCCUCGUUGCCAUCGCCAAUACAUCCGAACCACCGUGAUGGUCCCACACAAAUAUUUCUUGUUGUAGGCGGCGUCCAAGACCAACAGGGUGUGAAUGGAAAAGGAAACCUGCGUUCUGUCACAGCUCAAAGGCUGCCGGCCAAAAGUCAACGAGUGAAAAGUCUCCCCACCUCGCCGGCCGAUGCUCUUAACCUCCCUUCAUCUCGCAGGAGUGUUUGGUCACCAGCACGUCGCCGUCUGCUUUUUCUCUUUCUUAAUACAACUUUUCCCACAUGAGGCGGCCGCUGUUUCAGAGAUAAUCCAAGUGUUCUUUCUAACAGUCAUUUGCAUUUCAUUAAUUAAAGCAAACAUGGCCUCAAGUGGCUCCAGGAGCAGAUCCACGGCGUCCCGCAGUGUUUCUUAAAUACGUGUAAUAUAUGCAGCCAGGCGUGUUAUGAACGAGGUUUUCUUUGCUAAGUGUCCCGGGUCUGUUUUUGUAUGUCAAAGCACAUGAUUGACUGCGCAGAAAAAGAAAACAUCUUAACACGUGUGAUGGUCAGGAAUUAAGGUAUUUAUUCUAAUUUGAUAAUAAAAAGAGUCUUUGAAUGUUGUGACUUUUUCCUGCAAAUAUGUAGAUGCAUAAGUGAAUAAUUGGUCUAAGAGGAAAAUAAACAACUUCAAUAAAGUAGAUUAUUUCACCUCCAGCAGCAACACAAAUCCGACGUGUUCCUGCAGAAGAAGUAAACUUAGUGUUCCUCUUACUUAAAAUGUAAAUAAAGAAAAUGAAACAUUAACAAAGCCUCCGUCUAAAAUGUACUUAACAUGACAGAGAUGAUUGACAGUCGAUCAUUUGUUGGAUGAAAUAUUUAUGGCGCCCACCAAGGUUCAGGUCACUUAAUAAAGCAGAACCUUGUUCUUCCAAUAAAACGCACAACAUUUUGAGACCCAUCACUUCGUAUUAUCAUUAAGUGUGAUAUCUCCACAUCUACGAGGGAAUUCUAAUUUAAAAUAAAAUCUCCCAUUGAGCCGGUGGUUUGUUGAGAAGCUGUCAUGAGAUAGAAGGUCAUUUAUACGUCACAUGUGUCGAGUCCAGCGCACAGCUGGGUGCAUUUCCUUCCAUCAAAAGAUCCCUUUUCUGCCUUUUUCCAAGUUCAUUUUCACGUCUAAAGCUCAGCAAUGCGCAUUGGACGAAAACAUCACUGUGACUCACAUCCCGCUUCCAUUCCACCCGAGAACACACCGUCAAUGGGGAUCCAACCUGUCAAAAUAUAUGAUUGGCAGGUAUUUGAAAACGCGAGCUGUAAAUGUCAAUAUGUGGUGUAACACAAGCCGUGGAGUGACUACAUGUAGCUGCUGGACAACGGCCCACUUUGAGGACGUGCUGGAGCAGGAA
ensembl:lncRNA